AGCAUCCGUAGCCGGCUGCUCAAGUUUCCGGUUAAAUCCACACGCUUAACGUAUGGGCUGCCGGAAAUACUGUUCAGCUAGGGAGUGGGAGAGGUAGACGGUACUCGAUAGGAAGGGGUAAAAUCCUUUGAUCUAUUGAUGACCACCUGUGGCGAAGGCGGUCUACCAGAACACGUUCGACGGUGAGGGGUGAAAGCUGGGGGAGCAAACCGGAUUAGAUACCCGGGUAGUCCCAGCUGUAAACGAUGCAGACUCGGUGAUGCAUUGGCUUAUGGCCAGUGCAGUGCCGCAGGGAAGCCGUUAAGUUUGCCGCCUGGGAAGUACGUACGCAAGUAUGAAACUUAAAGGAAUUGGCGGGGGAGCACAAGCCG
rnacentral:rRNA from 2 species